rnacentral:rRNA from 1 species
UACGUAGGUGGCAAGCGUUAUCCGGAAUUAUUGGGCGUAAAGCGCGCGCAGGCGGUUUCUUAAGUCUGAUGUGAAAGCCCACGGCUCAACCGUGGAGGGUCAUUGGAAACUGGGGAACUUGAGUGCAGAAGAGAAAAGCGGAAUUCCACGUGUAGCGGUGAAAUGCGUAGAGAUGUGGAGGAACACCAGUGGCGAAGGCGGCUUUUGGUCUGUAACUGACGCUGAGGCGCGAAAGCGUGGGGAGCAAACAGGAUUAAGAUA